rnacentral:rRNA from 1 species
AUUGAACGCUGGCGGCAUGCCUUACACAUGCAAGUCGAACGGCAGCGCGGGAGCAAUCCUGGCGGCGAGUGGCGAACGGGUGAGUAAUAUAUCGGAACGUGCCCAGUAGUGGGGGAUAGCCCGGCGAAAGCCGGAUUAAUACCGCAUACGACCUACGGGUGAAAGGGGGGGAUCGCAAGACCCCUCGCUAUUGGAGCGGCCGAUAUCAGAUUAGGUAGUUGGUGGGGUAAAGGCCUACCAAGCCUGCGAUCUGUAGUUGGUCUGAGAGGACGACCAGCCACACUGGGACUGAGACACGGCCCAGACUCCUACGGGAGGCAGCAGUGGGGAAUUUUGGACAAUGGGCGCAAGCCUGAUCCAGCAAUGCCGCGUGCAGGAAGAAGGCCUUCGGGUUGUAAACUGCUUUUGUCAGGGAAGAAAUCCUCUAGGCUAAUACCUUGGGGGGAUGACGGUACCUGAAGAAUAAGCACCGGCUAACUACGUGCCAGCAGCCGCCGUAACAC